rnacentral:misc_RNA from 1 species
AAGUCGUAACAAGGUUUCCGUAGGUGAACCUGCGGAAGGAUCAUUACAAGAAAUAUAUGGAGGGAGGGGGAAGAAGGAUAUCAAGGUCCUUUUCUCUCUCUCUCUCUGACACACACGGGGCCCGAGAGGGACCUGAUGUAUACGCUUGCAAGUUUGACAGAGUAUAGGAGAAAAGGAGGAGGGAGGAGAGCGGGGGAAACUGGCCGGGUUAGUUGACUGGUUGGUUGACUGAUUGGUUGGUUUGCUUUGCUUUACUUUGCUCUCUCUGCUUAAUAAUUGACAACUUUUAACAAUGGAUCUCUUGGCUCUU